UUUUUUUUCAUGUAUCUAUAUUUUUGUGUGAUACAAUUGCAGGAGCUAUGGUUUUUUGUUGUAGGUAGUUUAAUGAUUAUAAUGGUUGCCAUUGGUGUUCUUCUCAAGGGGUAAGAGUUAAAAAAAGGUAGGAGGUCUUGUAUGACUUAUCCAUUUUCUGAUGUUAAUGGGAGUUGUAGAAACCAUACAGAUUUUUUUUGGAUUAAUGUGAUUAAAGAGUUUUUAGAUUUUUCUACAUUUGUAAGAGUACCUAAGAGUGAAAAUGGAACAGUUGUUAAUAAUCUGCACUGUAUUGAGCUUGGUGUUAUGAAAGCUAUGUUUUCUUUCUGAUUUGAUAGUUAUUAUUCUGGUUAUAUUUUUUCUAUUAGAAGACACUGUACUGUUGUAAAUAAUCUUUUAUCUGCAAUCAGUGUGCCAAGCAAUAUAAGACAGACUCGAUGAUCAUUAAGUUGUAUAAAGCAUUGGAAAGGAUAAAAGUGAUAAAAUGCUAAUGGUUGGAAAUUGAUAAAUUAAUAAAAAAUGAUUGAUUCUAAUUGCGCGAAAAUAUGUUGCUCUAAAGACCCAAACCGAAAAGAAUGCCUAAAGUGGUUUUCAAAAGAUGAAUUGACGAAUUUCUUAAUUCUUUUUGUUUCGUUGUGAUAAUUUGUCGUAUGAGAACGCUAACGAGAAAAAAAUUUUUAAAUAUAGAAACAUGCGUAAUAUAAAGUUUACUUAUGCCUAUAAAAAAAUAUGUUUUACAUUAAUUAAUAAAUUAACUUUUUAGUUUCUUGUUAAAAAUUGUAUUCUGUAUUGAAGUUUAUUUCUAAGAAUUUGUAAUUAUACCUAAGAUAAUCUAAUCCUACAUUGUAUUUUAAUUUAUAAAACUCGAUAUUUUAAAAUAAAUAUAUUACUUUUUUAUCGCG